UAAGCACUUUAUACUGUGAAACUGCGAAUGGCUCAUUAAAUCAGUUAUCGUUUAUUUGAUAGUACCUUACUACAUGGAUACCUGUGGUAAUUCUAGAGCUAAUACAUGCUAAAAACCCCGACUUCAGGAAGGGGUGUAUUUAUUAGAUAAAAAACCAACGCCCUUCGGGGCUCCUUGGUGAAUCAUAAUAACUUAACGAAUCGCAUGGCCUUGCGCCGGCGAUGGUUCAUUCAAAUUUCUGCCCUAUCAACUUUCGAUGGUAGGAUAGUGGCCUACCAUGGUGGCAACGGGUAACGGGGAAUUAGGGUUCGAUUCCGGAGAGGGAGCCUGAGAAACGGCUACCACAUCCAAGGAAGGCAGCAGGCGCGCAAAUUACCCAAUCCCGAUACGGGGAGGUAGUGACAAUAAAUACUGAUACGGGGCUCUUUCGGGUCUCGUAAUUGGAAUGAGAACAAUUUAAAUCCCUUAACGAGGAACAAUUGGAGGGCAAGUCUGGUGCCAGCAGCCGCGGUAAUUCCAGCUCCAAUAGCGUAUAUUAAAGUUGUUGCAGUUAAAAAGCUCGUAGUUGAACCUUGGGUCUGGCUGGCCGGUCCGCCUCACCGCGAGUACUGGUCCGGCCGGACCUUUCCUUCUGGGGAACCUCAUGGCCUUCACUGGCUGUGGGGGGAACAGGACUUUACUGUGAAAAAUAGAGUGUCAAGCAGGCCUUGCUGAUCAUAGCAUGAUAUGAUAGCGGCGUCAUUGUGUCAGACGCGAUAUAUAGAUGCGGGCGCGAUACGCGAGUAAUCUGAUGCUA
rnacentral:rRNA from 1 species